rnacentral:tRNA from 1 species
UGGAAAGUUACUCAAGUGGUUUAAGAGGACAGGUUGCUACCUUGUUAGGCGUGUAAAAGCGUGCGUAGGUUCGAAUCCUACACUUUCCGU